rnacentral:rRNA from 2 species
CAUGUCGAACGGCAGCACGGGCUUCGGCCUGGUGGCGAGUGGCGACCGGGUGAGUAAUACAUCGGAACGUGCCCUGUAGUGGGGGAUAACUAGUCGAAAGAUUACCUAAUACCGCAUACGACCUGAGGGUGAAAGCGGGGGACCGCAAGGCCUCGCGCUACAGGAGCGGCCGAUGUCUGAUUAGCUAGUUGGUGGGGUAAGAGCCUACCAAGGCGACGAUCAGUAGCUGGUCUGAGAGGACGAUCAGCCACACUGGGACUGAGACACGGCCCAACUCCUACGGGAGGCAGCAGUGGGGAAUUUUGGACAAUGGGGGCAACCCUGAUCCAGCAAUGCCGCGUGUGUGAAGAAGGCCUUCGGGUUGUAAAGCACUUUUGUCCGGAAAGAAAUGGCUCUGGUUAAUACCCGGGGUCGAUGACGGUACCGGAAGAAUAAGCACCGGCUAACUACGUGCCAGCAGCCGCGGUAAUACGUAGGGUGCGAGCGUUAUCGGAAUUACUGGGCGUAAAGCGUGCGCAGGCGGGUUUUGUAAGACAGGCGUGAAAUCCCCGAGCUCAACUUGGGAAUGGCGCUUGUGACUGCAAGGCUAGAGUAUGUCAGAGGGGGGGUAGAAUUCCACGUGUAGCAGUGAAAUGCGUAGAGAUGUGGAGGAAUACCGAUGGCGAAGGCAGCCCCCUGGGACGUCACUGACGGUUCAUGCACGAAAGCGUGGGGGAGCAAACAGGAUUAGAUACCCUGGUAGUCCACGCCCUAAACGAUGUCAACUAGUUGUUGGGGAUUCAUUUUCUUCAGUAACGUAGCUAACGCGUGAAGUUGACCGCCUGGGGGAGUACGGUCGCAAGAUUAAAACUCAAAGGAAUUGACGGGGACCCGCACAAGCGGUGGAUGAUGUGGAUUAAUUCGAUGCAACGCGAAAAACCUUACCUACCCUUGACAUGCCACUAACGAAGCAGAGAUGCAUUAGGUGCCCGAAAGGGAAAGUGGACACAGGUGCUGCAUGGCUGUCGUCAGCUCGUGUCGUGAGAUGUUGGGUUAAGUCCCGCAACGAGCGCAACCCUUGUCUCUAGUUGCUACGAAAGGGCACUCUAGAGAGACUGCCGGUGACAAACCGGAGGAAGGUGGGGAUGACGUCAAGUCCUCAUGGCCCUUAUGGGUAGGGCUUCACACGUCAUACAAUGGUGCGUACAGAGGGUUGCCAACCCGCGAGGGGGAGCUAAUCCCAGAAAACGCAUCGUAGUCCGGAUCGUAGUCUGCAACUCGACUACGUGAAGCUGGAAUCGCUAGUAAUCGCGAUCAGAC